rnacentral:sRNA from 1 species
GAAGCAGACAUAGGGUGGAACUACCUGGCAUAGAGGCGGGAAUAUGAGGGCAAAGCUGAGGAGGGAGCUAGGGACAGUGGUCUGUGUCUCUAAGGAAUGCCUGCCCCUGGGUAUCCUGUACACAUCUGUUCUUUAACCAUGGGAUAUUCUGGGAGUCCAGGACCAAUGGGCCUAUCUCUUCAUCUCCCAGGUCACCAUCCUUAAUGGCUCAGACAUCCGAUCCCUCUACAACUUCUCAGGGGAACAGAUGGCCUCCUACUUUGGCUAUGCAGUGACUGCCACAGACAUCAAUGGGGAUGGGCUGGAUGACUUGCUGGUGGGGGCACCCCUGCUCAUGGAUCGGACCCCUGACGGGCGGCCUCAGGAGGUGGGCAGGGUCUACAUCUACCUGCAGCACCCAGCCGGCAUAGAGCCCACGCCCACCCUUACCCUCACUGGCCAUGAUGAGUUUGGUCGAUUUGGCAGCUCCUUGACCCCCCUGGGGGACCUGGACCAGGAUGGCUACAAUGAUGUGGCCAUCGGGGCUCCCUUUGGUGGGGAGACCCAGCAGGGAGUAGUGUUUGUAUUCCCUGGGGGCCCAGGAGGGCUGGGCUCUAAGCCUUCCCAGGUUCUGCAGCCCCUGUGGGCAGCCAGCCACACCCCAGACUUCUUUGGCUCUGCCCUUCGAGGAGGCCGAGACCUGGAUGGCAACGGAUACCCUGGUGAGUUGUGCCUGAGGCCCCUUUUCACCUUAAAAUUCCCUGGUCACUGACCUCUACCCUCUCUUCUGCACCUUUCCCAAAGUUCCUGCAUGCAGUUCUAGCAAAUUCCAACAGAGGGCGCUGUCUUCCCACUUCAGCCUCCCUAAGCAUUGAAACCAGGAGGGGUUUGGAAGAAAGGAUCCUGAUUUGGGGCUUGCUGUAAGAGGUGAUUUCUUGACUUCUUACAGAUCUGAUUGUGGGGUCCUUUGGUGUGGACAAGGCUGUGGUAUACAGAGGCCGCCCCAUCGUGUCCGCCAGUGCCUCCCUCACCAUCUUCCCUGCCAUGUUCAACCCAGAGGAGCGCAGCUGCAGCUUAGAGGGGAACCCUGUGGCCUGCAUCAACCUUAGCUUCUGCCUCAAUGCUUCUGGAAAACACGUUGCUGACUCCAUUGGCUUCACAGUGGAACUUCAGCUGGACUGGCAGAAGCAGAAGGGAGGGGUACGGCGGGCACUGUUCCUGGCCUCCAGGCAGGCAACCCUGACCCAGACCCUGCUCAUCCAGAAUGGGGCUCGAGAGGAUUGCAGAGAGAUGAAGAUCUACCUCAGGGUAUGGCCCAGAGGGCGGGGUGUGGACUGGCCAGGGAGGGUGGCCACAUAGAACUGAGGGCACCUCCUGAAGGGAAAAAGAUUGGGGGAUUCCAGUGAAGGGCUUGGGACUCUUGUGGGGGCUGAGAAAGGGAGACCUUCUGUCAGAGGAGCUGGGAAGCAGGCUGCCAGGGCCUCUGAAACAAAGGAUGGUCAGAAUUGGGCCCUAAGCAGACAAAGGGAGAUAAGAGAGGCUGAGGAGCAGGGCCACUAAGUCUCCAGAGUCCCCUGACUCCGUGAACUCUCUCCUCUGGCCCCAGAACGAGUCAGAAUUUCGAGACAAACUCUCCCCGAUUCACAUCGCUCUCAACUUCUCCUUGGACCCCCAAGCCCCAGUGGACAGCCACGGCCUCAGGCCAGCCCUACAUUACCACAGCAACAGCCGGAUAGAGGACAAGGCUCAGAUCUUGCUGGACUGUGGAGAAGACAACAUCUGUGUGCCUGACCUGCAGCUGGAGGUGUUUGGGGAGCAGAACCAUGUGUACCUGGGUGACAAGAAUGCCCUGAACCUCACUUUCCAUGCCCAGAAUGUGGGUGAGGGUGGCGCCUAUGAGGCUGAGCUUCGGGUCACCGCCCCUCCAGAGGCUGAGUACUCAGGACUCGUCAGACACCCAGGGAACUUCUCCAGCCUGAGCUGUGACUACUUUGCCGUGAACCAGAGCCGCCUGCUGGUGUGUGACCUGGGCAACCCCAUGAAGGCAGGAGCCAGUCUGUGGGGUGGCCUUCGGUUUACAGUCCCUCAUCUCCGGGACACUAAGAAAACCAUCCAGUUUGACUUCCAGAUCCUCAGCAAGAAUCUCAACAACUCGCAAAGCGACGUGGUUUCCUUCCGGCUCUCCGUGGAGGCUCAGGCCCAGGUCACCCUGAACGGUGUCUCCAAGCCUGAGGCAGUGCUAUUCCCAGUAAGCGACUGGCAUCCCCGAGACCAGCCUCAGAAGGAGGAGGACCUGGGGCCUGCUGUCCACCAUGUCUAUGAGCUCAUCAACCAAGGCCCCAGCUCCAUUAGCCAGGGCGUGCUGGAGCUCAGCUGUCCCCAGGCUCUGGAAGGUCAGCAGCUCCUAUAUGUGACCAGAGUUAUGGGACUCAACUGCACCACCAAUCACCCCAUUAACCCAAAGGGCCUGGAGGUGAGAACCUGAACACUGGCAUGGGGAAGAGGAGCAAAUUCAGAAGACCAAGGCUGAGGGGUUGGGGAAGGUUGCUGGGGGCCUGCAAGAGGCAAUGAGGAUGUGCCUAUAGCUAGGGCUGAGGGUCACAAGGCCCAAAGUUACCUCAAAAGCCUCUGGAGGAAAAAGGACUUUCAUCCACCUUGUUUCUUUCUGCCUGAACUAUCCCUUCUUUGUUUCCUGGCAUACCCCUAGGUCCCAGUUACAUGCCACCUCCUCUAGGAAGCCUUCUUCAAAGGCUUUCCUCUGGGCCCCAAUGCCUGUUUUGUAGUUCAUUUACUCAUUAACAUUUAAUUAAAUAAGUGCCUGUACUGAACACUGUUAGGCCCAGGAAAUAUUGCACCAAACAAAACUGACAAGAUCUCCACGUUCAUGGAACUUACAUUCUAGUGAAGGGUGAUAGACAUAGAAAAUAAAAAGAGAAGGAGAAAAAUUAACAGGGAUUGAAAGGUGAUGAAGUGAAGUGUUAAUAAGCUGUAGGGACACUAUUUAAAUUGGAUCAUAGGAAAACCUCUUGAAGACGUCACAGCUGAACUGAGGCCUGAAAGAUAAGGUUGAACCUAUCUAUAAGACUCAGGGAUGAGCAUUCCAAACCGAGGGAACAGCCAGUGUAAAAACAGGAACACGGACCUAAUUAUUUAUUUAAGCAUCUCCUCCAGUGUGAACUCCAAGAACCAAGUUUUCUUCAUUUCCAUAUUUUAACCCUGAGCUCGGUGCCUUGCACAUAGGAGGUGGACAGUUGGAUGAAUCAAUAAAGAGAUAGAUGAAAGAAUAGGUUGAAGCUGCUCUGGAACCCAGGUGCAGGCUGACUUAGAAGCUGUAAUGAGAUGGGAAAGGGGCCCAACACUUUCUUUUAUAGUUGGAUCCCGAGGGUUCCCUGCACCACCGGCAAAAACGGGAAGCUCCAAGCCGCAGCUCUGCUUCCUCGGGACCUCAGAUCCUGGUAAGUCAGGCAGGGAAUGAGGUGUGGACCAAAGUGUUGAGUACUCUGGGGUUCUCAGAGCCAUCACAAGGGCAGAACACCAGGUUCAAGCUUCUUUCUUCCUAGAAAUGCCCGGAGGCUGAGUGUUUCAGGCUGCGCUGUGAGCUCGGGCCCCUGCACCAACAAGAGAGCCAAAGUCUGCAGUUGCAUUUCCGAGUCUGGGCCAAGACUUUCUUGCAGCGGGAGCACCAGCCAUUUAGCCUGCAGUGUGAGGCUGUGUACAAAGCCCUGAAGAUGCCCUACCGAAUCCUGCCUCAGCAGCUGCCCCAAAAGGAGCGUCAUGUGGCCACAGCUGUGCAAUGGACCAAGGCAGAAGGCAGCCAUGGUGUCCCACUGUGGAUCAUCAUCCUAGCCAUUCUAUUUGGCCUCCUGCUCCUAGGUCUACUCAUCUACAUCCUCUACAAGCUCGGAUUCUUCAAACGCUCCCUCCCAUAUGGCACCGCCAUGGAAAAAGCUCAGCUCAAGCCUCCAGCCACCUCUGAUGCCUGAGUCCUCCCAAUUUCAGACUCCCAAUCCUGAAGAACCAGUCACCUCACCCUCAUUCUACUGAAAGGGAGGGGUCUGGGUACUUCCUGAAGGUGCUGAUGGCCAGGGAGAAGCUCCUCUCCCCAGCCCAGAGACAUACUUGAAGGGCCAGAGCCAGGGGGGUGAGGAGCUGGGGAUCCCUCCCCCCCAUGCACUGUGAAGGACCCUUGUUUACACAUACCCUCUUCAUGGAUGGGGGAACUCAGAUCCAGGGACAGAGGCCCCAGCCUCCCUGAAGCCUUUGCAUUUUGGAGAGUUUCCUGAAACAACUUGGAAAGAUAACUAGGAAAUCCAUUCACAGUUCUUUGGGCCAGACAUGCCACAAGGACUUCCUGUCCAGCUCCAACCUGCAAAGAUCUGUCCUCAGCCUUGCCAGAGAUCCAAAAGAAGCCCCCAGCUAAGAACCUGGAACUUGGGGAGUAAGACCUGGCAGCUCUGGACAGCCCCAUCCUUGUGGGCCAACAAGGAACACUAACUAUGGAUGGUGCCCCAGGACCAGCUCAGGACAGAUGCCACACAAGGAUAGAUGCUGGCCCAGAGCCCAGCUCCAAGGGGAAUCAGAACUCAAAUGGGGCCAGAUCCAGCCUGGGGUCUGGAGUUGAUCUGGAACCCAGACUCAGACAUUGGCACCUAAUCCAGGCAGAUCCAGGACUAUAUUUGGGCCUGCUCCAGACCUGAUCCUGGAGGCCCAGUUCACCCUGAUUUAGGAGAAGCCAGGAAUUUCCCAGGACCCUGAAGGGGUCAUGAUGGCAACAGAUCUGGAACCUCAGCCUGGCCAGACACAGGCCCGCCCUGUUCCCCAGAGAAAGGGGAGCCCACUGUCCUGGCCCUGCAGAAUUUGGGUUCUGCCUGCCAGCUGCACUGAUGCUGCCCCUCCUCUCUCUGCCCAACCCUUCCCUCACCUUGGCACCAGACACCCAGGACUUAUUUAAACUCUGUUGCAAGUGCAAUAAAUCUGACCCAGUGCCCCCACUGACCAGAACUAGAA